rnacentral:pre_miRNA from 1 species
ACACGUAUUUCCCAGGGGUCUUGUCAAAAUGCAGACUGUGAUUCCAUAGGUCUGAGUGUGACCUGGGAGUCUGCAUUUCUGUAAGCUUCUAGGGCAUCCUCUG